AGUCAAAUGUGGGGUCAUAAUCUAAGCAUUUCCUUAAAUUGCUCCCAUGUUUCGUAGUGGAGUUCCUCAUCCUUUUGAGUAAAUUUAGUAAUUUGAUUUCUCAGUUG